rnacentral:lncRNA from 1 species
AAAAAUAUUUUAUUUAAUUAAUUGGCAUCAAAAUAUUAAUUUAAAAUAAUUUAAUAAAUUAAUAAAUUAGCUAUCAAUAUUGUAUAAGAGAAUUAAAAUAUAUUAAUUAAUUUAUUAAUAUAAAAAAAAUUAAAUCUUUUAAUGAGGUGGUAAAUUAUUUUAGUUAGAUAAUUAGUAAAGAAAUUAAUUAGAUUAGUUAAAAUAUUAAUGAUUGAUCAAUAUAAUUAUU